rnacentral:rRNA from 1 species
UACGUAGGGGGCAAGCGUUGUCCGGAAUUAUUGGGCGUAAAGAGCGCGUAGGCGGUCCGAUAAGUCGGCUGUGAAAGUCAGGGGCUCAACCCUUGAAAGCCGGCCGAUACUGUCGGACUAGAGUCCGGAAGAGGCAAGUGGAAUUCCCGGUGUAGCGGUGAAAUGCGCAGAUAUCGGGAGGAACACCAAUGGCGAAGGCAGCUUGCUGGGACGGUACUGACGCUGAGACGCGAAAGCGUGGGGAGCAAAUAGG